CAGUCAAGAAUGGUGAAUCUUACAGUAAUUUCGUGGUACAUAUCUUUUCUUGUGCAUGGUGUCCUCUUGUAUUAUGUUAGUUCUCGCAUGAUGUUUGUUCAAGCGGUCUUCGUACCUACUUAAAUUGCGGCGUGUUUCCCGAUUGCGUUGAUGCGUUCUUGUGUAGUGCUUUUCCAAAUUCUACGGUCAUAUUACUUGAAUGUUUCUGUGUCAAAAGAAAUUGGAAUGUCUGUCGACUGACUUAGUCAACAUGUUCAUAGCAAGGGCUGGCCAUCUGAUUGCCGUUCAUGAUUUUGCAAGAAUCAGUGAACCACCGUGGAAUGCAAGUGACAUAUGGAGAAAAGUCUGUCAUCGUCGUAUCUUCCUGGAACACCCACGCAGAAUAAGUUUUCCAAACGUGCAAGCAGUCGCGAAGAAAAGAAAAUGCAUGCUUCCCCUGUUUCACGAUGAAAUUCGCGUCGUCAUCGACGUUGCUACGAACGGCGCAGCCGACCGUGAAAUGAUCCAGGCAAGUUUUUUCAAGUAUGCUGCCUCAAGAGGCUCCACAAUCAAUGGCAUUUUGAAUGCAGUAGUAACCCCUGACACCGAUGUCAUACAUAUAGUGUAGGAGGAGGCUGAAUCUGCAGGUUGAUGAUGUCCUUACAAGGCGACUGAAAAAGAGAGGAUCUGGUCAGCCUGGUAGAUGCAAGUUACCGCUUGUGAUUACUGAGAAGUCUAACAGUGCUAAAAUAAUAGACGAUCAGCCAAAAAGACAGGUGAACAUAAUCAAAUCCUGUUUCAUUUUAUAACUAAGAUGCCUGCUCUCCAAGUGCAAUUUCUCCUCCUCCAUCUCGCAUUUGUUCACUUUAUCAAGGUGUAAAACGACGCGACUCAUGCCUACUGUCCUGGAACAUGUCCCUCU